rnacentral:rRNA from 1 species
UGGCUGGGAACCUGCCCUGACGUGGGGGAUAACAGUUGGAAACGACUGCUAAUACCGCAUGACGUCUACGGACCAAAGAGGAGGACCUUCGGGCUUCUCGCGUCGGGAUGGGCCCAGUUGGGAUUAGCUAGUAGGUGGGGUAACGGCUCACCUAGGCGACGAUCCCUAGCUGGUUUGAGAGGAUGAUCAGCCACACUGGAACUGAGACACGGUCCAGACUCCUACGGGAGGCAGCAGUGAGGAAUAUUGGACAAUGGAGGCAACUCUGAUCCAGCCAUGCCGCGCGCAGGAUGACUGCCC